AAAUAAUGCUAUAAGGAAUUAAAUGUUAAAAUUAUUGGGUGAAUAAAGAUUUAAGCUGAAUUUGAAUUGAAUUAACCAUUAUUAUUUAUUUCAGAUUUGUCUAUUUAAUGAACAUUCUUUAGUUGAACACCUUUGUUAUUCUUCUCUGUGUGGAUCUCAGUUAUUAAUCUUUUAUAAUCGUUAUUAAUCUCCUGUUGUUCUGGAUCAGAAGGACUGCAGCCUGAGUGAUACUCCCCAAAUACCUGAGUAAAGGCCACGCCCCUCCCCACCUCAUUAAUAAACUCCCAGGUCACUCAGUUGGGAGAGAGCACACCUGUCAGUCUCGGAUCAGAAGCUUUUUAGUCCCAAAGAGAGUCUGAUCCACACCUAGACCUUCAGCUGUCCCACAAGAGACGCCUCGCUCAGAAGAGACUGAAUGUGCCUGCUGCAGCAGAUGCAGAGAUGGAGUUCAUGGAGCAUUUAAUGCGAACCAAGAAAUCUCGGUUGGGCUUCUAAGAAUCAGACUCAAAAGAAGGAAUGCUGCAAGGCAAGUGACC
rnacentral:lncRNA from 1 species